GAUGAACGCUGGCGGCGUGCCUAAUACAUGCAAGUCGAGCGAACGGACGAGAAGCUUGCUUCUCUGAUGUUAGCGGCGGACGGGUGAGUCACACGUGGAUAACCUACCUAUAAGACUGGGAUAACUUCGGGAAACCGUAGCUAAUACCGGAUAAUAUUUUGAACCGCAUGGUUCAAAAGUUAAAGACGGUCUUGCUGUCACUUAUAGAUGGAUCCGCGCUGCAUUAGCUAGUUGGUAAGGUAACGGCUUACCAAGGCGACGCUGCAUAGCCGACCUGAUAGAGUGCUCGCCCCCACUAGAACUGAGUCACCGUCCAGACUCCUAAGGGAGGCAGCAGUCGGGAAUCUUCCGCAGUGGUCGAAAGCCUGCCGGAGCAAUGCCGCGUGAGUGAUGAAGGUCUUCGGAUCGUAAUACUCUGUUAUUAGGGAAGAACAUAUGUGCAAGUAACUGUGCACAUCUUGACGGUACCUAAUCAGAAAGCCACGGCUAACUACGUG
rnacentral:rRNA from 1 species